AACGAACGCUGGCGGCAGGCCUAACACAUGCAAGUCGAGCGCCCUUUCGGGGGCGCGGCGGACGGGUGAGUAACGCGUGGGAAUAUGCCCUUCUCUACGGAAUAGCCUCGGGAAACUGAGAGUAAUACCGUAUACGCCCUGUGGGGGAAAGAUUUAUCGGGGAAGGAUUAGCCCGCGUUGGAUUAGGUAGUUGGUGGGGUAAUGGCCUACCAAGCCGACGAUCCAUAGCUGGUUUGAGAGGAUGAUCAGCCACACUGGGACUGAGACACGGCCCAGACUCCUACGGGAGGCAGCAGUGGGGAAUCUUAGACAAUGGGGGCAACCCUGAUCUAGCCAUGCCGCGUGAGUGAUGAAGGCCUUAGGGUUGUAAAGCUCUUUCAGCUGGGAAGAUAAUGACGGUACCAGCAGAAGAAGCCCCGGCUAACUCCGUG
rnacentral:rRNA from 1 species